ACUCCUGCGGGAGGCAGCAGUGGGGAAUUUUGGACAAUGGGCGAAAGCCUGAUCCAGCAAUGCCGCGUGAGUGAAGAAGGCCUUCGGGUUGUAAAGCUCUUUUGUCAGGGAAGAAACGGUGAGAGCUAAUAUCUCUUGCUAAUGACGGUACCUGAAGAAUAAGCACCGGCUAACUACGUGCCAGCAGCCGCGGUAAUACGUAGGGUGCAAGCGUUAAUCGGAAUUACUGGGCGUAAAGCGUGCGCAGGCGGUUUUGUAAGUCUGAUGUGAAAUCCCCGGGCUCAACCUGGGAAUUGCAUUGGAGACUGCAAGGCUAGAAUCUGGCAGAGGGGGGUAGAAUUCCACGUGUAGCAGUGAAAUGCGUAGAUAUGUGGAGGAACACCGAUGGCGAAGGCAGCCCCCUGGGUCAAGAUUGACGCUCAUGCACGAAAGCGUGGGGAGCAAACAGGAUUAGAAACCCCUGUAGUCCCAUG
rnacentral:rRNA from 1 species